UACAGAGGGUGCGAGCGUUGUCCGGAAUCACUGGGCGUAAAGGGCGCGAGUAGGUGGCGGCCCAAGUCCAUGGUGAAAGCUCGAUGCUCAACAUCGAGUCGGCCACGGAUACUGGGUUGCUCGAGCACUGUAGGGGCAGAUGGAAUUCCGGGUGUAGCGGUGGAAUGCGUAGAUACCAGGAGGAACACCAAUGCGAAGGCAGGCUACUGGACAGAAGGUGACGCUGAGGCGCGAAAGUGUGGGGAGCGAACCGG
rnacentral:rRNA from 1 species